GACGAACGCUGGCGGCGUGCUUAACACAUGCAAGUCGAACGGAAAGGCGCUGCUUUUGCGGGGUGCUCGAUUGGCGAACGGGUGAGUAACACAUGAGUAUCCUGCCCCUGUCAUUGGGAGAACUUCACGAAAAUGGGGCUAAUACACGGUAUGAUAUCCUGCUGCAUGGGGUGGGUUGGAGAAAUUCGGCUGUUGGGGAUGGACUCGCGGGUUAUGAGCUGGUUGGGGGGGUAGGGGCUUACCAGGGGUUUGACGGGUAGCCGGCCUGAGAGGGUGACCAGCGACAUGGCUACUGCGGUACGGACCAGAAGCCUACGGGAGGCAGCAGGCGAGAACAUUGCACAAUGAGCGGACGCGUGAUGUGGCAACGUUGGGUGCGGGAUGACGGCCUUCGGGUUGUAAACCGCUUUCGACUGUGACGAAGAGUGAUUGACGGUAAUGGGUAAAGAAGCACCGGCUAACUACGUG
rnacentral:rRNA from 1 species